rnacentral:rRNA from 1 species
GACGUAGGGGGCGAGCGUUGUCCGGAAUUAUUGGGCGUAAAGGGCGUGUAGGCGGCUUUUCAAGUCAGCUGUGAAAUUCCUCGGCUCAACUGAGGGCUUGCAGUUGAAACUGAUUGGCUUGAGUACAGGAGAGGAUGGUAGAAUUCCCGGUGUAGCGGUGAAAUGCGUAGAUAUCGGGAGGAAUACCGGUGGCGAAGGCGGCCUUCUGGCCUGUCACUGACGCUGAGGCGCGAAAGCUAGGGGAGCGAACAGGAUUAGAUACC